rnacentral:rRNA from 1 species
GACGAACGCUGGCGGCGUGCCUAAUACAUGCAAGUAGAACGCUGAAGGAGGAGCUUGCUUCUCCGGAUGAGUUGCGAACGGGUGAGUAACGCGUAGGUAACCUGCCUGGUAGCGGGGGAUAACUAUUGGAAACGAUAGCUAAUACCGCAUAACAGUAGAUAUUGCAUGAUAUCUGCUUGAAAGGUGCAAUUGCAUCACUACCAGAUGGACCUGCGUUGUAUUAGCUAGUUGGUGAGGUAACGGCUCACCAAGGCGACGAUACAUAGCCGACCUGAGAGGGUGAUCGGCCACACUGGGACUGAGACACGGCCCAGACUCCUACGGGAGGCAGCAGUAGGGAAUCUUCGGCAAUGGACGGAAGUCUGACCGAGCAACGCCGCGUGAGUGAAGAAGGUUUUCGGAUCGUAAAGCUCUGUUGUAAGAGAAGAACGAGUGUGAGAGUGGAAAGUUCACACUGUGACGGUAUCUUACCAGAAAGGGACGGCUAACUACGUG